AUUAGACACACUCUCUGGAGUUGGUUCCCACCGGUUCGCGGGAACUGGUUGUUAAAUUUAGAAACCCUUUUAGAACCGGUUGUAAAGGGCUUUUAAAUUUAACAAAA